rnacentral:rRNA from 1 species
GAUGAACGCUGGCGGCGUGCCUAAUACAUGCAAGUCGAACGGAAAGACGACAACUUGGCGGCGCUGAUGUUAGCCGCAGGCGGGAGAGUAACACGGGUAUAACCUACCGAUCAGACGGGUAUAACUUCGGGAAACCGGAUCUAAUAGCGUAUGAUAUUUUGAACCGCGUGGUUCAAGAGUGAAAGACGGUCUUGCGGUCACGUAUAGAUGGAUCCGCGCUGCAUUAGCUAGUUGGUAAGGUAACGGCUUACCAAGGCAACGAUCCAUAGCCGACGUGAGAGGCUGAUAGGCCACAUUGGAACUGAGACAGCGACAAUGCGACUAAGGGAGGGAGCAGUAGGGAAUGUGACGCAAUGGGCGAGAGUAUGGCGGAGCAACGGCGCGUGUGAGAUGACGGUGUUCGGUUCGUAAUGAUGUGUUAUUAGGGAAGAACAUAUGUGUAAGUAGCUGUGGCCAUAUUGACGGUACCUAAUGAGAAAGCCACGGCUAACUACGUG